CGAUCAACUGCCCUGCUUCAAUCAGCGAGGGAACAGCUGUCGGCAUGCAACGCCAUACUGAACAUUUGACUUCCUGAUCCAUCGUAAAAUAAAAAUAUCACUUGCCGUCCAGUAUAAUGGGCUGCUUACAGUUCUCGUGCAGCUUGCCGUAUGUGCUGCCUUACGGAAAGACAAAAUCACGCACUCCAAAGGUAUUGCUCAAAAUGAGGACUACCACGGUCACGGCAGAGUGUACAGCGGCGCACCAUCGACAGUCUCACCAGCCUAAGAGGGCCACGAGUUUGGAGUAGUACUUCCACGCCCGCGACGCUCCUAGCAAUGAGGACCCUAUCCGUAUCGACUGGAGGCCCCCAGAAGAAGAGAAACAACAAGAAGAACAAGAAGAAGAAGAAUUUCAUUGGUGGCACGUCUGCUGACCGAGCUGGUCAAGCAACACUUGAACUAUAACCAAUCCUCUGUUGUCGAAACUGUACAUUAAUGUGGUUCCUAACAACGAGUACAAAGCGUGCUGGGCCUCCAUAAAGUUGAAACCAAGUAUUUGAGCCACAUUUUCUGUCACUCGAUACAGCGAUAAUUCAAAAUAUCAUUGACAGAAGAAGUGGAGAAAUUGCCACAGCGUCCUUACACCGUCUUCGCCGGAAGUAAGGAUAGUUCCCAAGUUUGUGAAUGAACGUAAUGACAUCGUUUGUGCAAAACGCAGUUCCCAUUUCGAUUACUGGCUGCUCUGUGUACCCGCCCACAUCUAGAAGAGAUAAUCGUGAAGAUUCAAGAUGUCUCUUGAAAACCUUGCAGCUUAACAGGACCAUAAUUGAUAACAUAAGUGUGCAAAAUGAGUAUUGGUACUGUGUGUCAUUGAAGUUAUUACGUGAUUUGAAAGGGACGAUAAAUACAUGUGAACUACACUGUGAGUGAACAAUGAAAAUUCCAUUCGCACCUUAUAUAAGCCAUCCCAUAUCCCAAAAUUUUCAGCUGUGUAUUUAGUGAUAAAGACAUGCUAGUGUGUGACAUAGAUGCAGCCGUCCACCCCUCCCGCCUUGAAAUGGUGGCUGUGAUGACAAACUGACCUGUACCGUAGCCCAAGAUCUAAGUUACGUUGGAAGGUUGCGUGAUUUAAGGUUGAUGAUGUGUAAGUGAAGAAAGUGAAAAUUACUGAUCUUACAGUUAAAAGUGGACACUGUGAAUAGCA